rnacentral:rRNA from 1 species
GCCCCGGUAAACGGCGGCCGUAACUAUAACGGUCCUAAGGUAGCGAAAUUCCUUGUCGGGUAAGUUCCGACCUGCACGAAUGGCGUAAUGAUGGCCAGGCUGUCUCCACCCGAGACUCAGUGAAAUUGAACUCGCUGUGAAGAUGCAGUGUACCCGCGGCAAGACGGAAAGACCCCGUGAACCUUUACUAUAGCUUGACACUGAACAUUGAGCCUUGAUGUGUAGGAUAGGUGGGAGGCUUUGAAGUGUGGACGCCAGUCUGCAUGGAGCCGACCUUGAAAUACCACCCUUUAAUGUUUGAUGUUCUAACGUUGGCCCGUAAUCCGGGUUGCGGACAGUGUCUGGUGGGUAGUUUGACUGGGGCGGUCUCCUCCUAAAGAGUAACGGAGGAGCACGAAGGUUGGCUAAUCCUGGUCGGACAUCAGGAGGUUAGUGCAAUGGCAUAAGCCAGCUUGACUGCGAGCGUGACGGCGCGAGCAGGUGCGAAAGCAGGUCAUAGUGAUCCGGUGGUUCUGAAUGGAAGGGCCAUCGCUCAACGGAUAAAAGGUACUCCGGGGAUAACAGGCUGAUACCGCCCAAGAGUUCAUAUCGACGGCGGUGUUUGGCACCUCGAUGUCGGCUCAUCACAUCCUGGGGCUGAAGUAGGUCCCAAGGGUAUGGCUGUUCGCCAUUUAAAGUGGUACGCGAGCUGGGUUUAGAACGUCGUGAGACAGUUCGGUCCCUAUCUGCCGUGGGCGCUGGAGAACUGAGGGGGGCUGCUCCUAGUACGAGAGGACCGGAGUGGACGCAUCACUGGUGUUCGGGUUGUCAUGCCAAUGGCACUGCCCGGUAGCUAAAUGCGGAAGAGAUAAGUGCUGAAAGCAUCUAAGCACGAAACUUGCCCCGAGAUGAGUUCUCCCUGACUCCUU